GCGCGGGUGCUGUAAUUGGUAGCCAGGCUAGCUUGAGGUGCUAGUGCCGUUAUUGGCGUGGAGGUUCGAGUCCUCUCCCGCGCACCC
rnacentral:tRNA from 1 species